UACAGAGGGUGCGAGCGUUGAUCGGAAUUACUGGGCGUAAAGCGCACGAAGGUGGCGACGUAAGUCGGGUGUGAAAGCCCCGGGCUCAACCUGGGAAUUGCAUUUGAUACUGCAUGUCUGGAGUACGGGAGAGGUGAGCGGAAUUCCCCGUGUAGAGGUGAAAUUCGUAGAUAUUGGGAGGAACAUCAGUGGCGAAGGCGGCUCCCGGGCCCGGUACUGACGCUCAUGUGCGAAAGCGUGGGGAGCAAACAGG
rnacentral:rRNA from 1 species